UCGGGCCCGCCGAAGGCCCCAAUAAACUCUGUCAUCAGUGUCGUCCGAGUCAAAACGCAAUAGUUAAAACUUUCAACAACGGAUCUCUUGGUUCCGGCAUCGAUGAANAACGCAGCGAAAUGCGAAAAGUAAUGUGAAUUGCANAAUUCCGUGAAUCAUCGAAUCUUUGAACGCACAUUGCGCCCUUUGGUAUUCCGAAGGGCAUGCCUGUCCGAGCGUCAUUGCNCCCCUCAAGCACUGCUUGGUAUUGGGCGUCNCCCCCGUGGCGCGCCUGGAUCUCAGNGGCGGUCCGGCGAGACUUCAAGCGUAGCAAGAUUUUCACAUCCCGCUUUGGAAGCCUUCUCGCCGCGCGCCGGCCANACAACCCCCGUAACAUACCUAUGAUUGACCUCGGAUCAGGUAGGGAUACCCGCUGAACUUAAGCAUAUC
rnacentral:rRNA from 1 species